UACGGAGGGUGCGAACGUUGUUCGGAAUUACUGGGCGUAAAGCGCGUGUAGGCGGUACGUUAAGUCAGAUGUGAAAGCCCUCGGCUCAACCGAGGAAGUGCAUUUGAAACUGGCGAACUAGAGUACGGGAGAGGGUUGUAGAAUUCCAGGUGUAGAGGUGAAAUUCGUAGAUAUCUGGAGGAAUACCGGUGGCGAAGGCGGCUCACUGGCUCGAUACUGACGCUGAGGUGCGAAAGCGUGGGGAGCAAACAGG
rnacentral:rRNA from 1 species